rnacentral:rRNA from 1 species
GCGCAACCCUUUGUCCUUAGUUACCAGCACGUUAUGUGGGCACUCUAAGGAGACUGCCGGUGGACAAACCGGAGGAAGGUGGGGAUGACGUCAAGUCAUCAUGGCCCUUACGGCCUGGGCUACACACGUGCUACAAUGGUCGGUACAAAGGGUUGCCAAGCCGCGAGGUGGAGCUAAUCCCAUAAAACCGAUCGUAGUCCGGAUCGCAGUCUGCAACUCGACUGCGUGAAGUCGGAAUCGCUAGUAAUCGUGAAUCAGAAUGUCACGGUGAAUACGUUCCCGGGCCUU